UACGAAGGGUGCAAGCGUUAAUCGGAAUUACUGGGCGUAAAGGGAGCGUAGGCGGGUUAUCAAGUUGGGGGUGAAAGCCCGGGGCUCAACCUCGGAAUUGCCUUCAAAACUGGUAGCCUAGAGUAUGAUAGAGGUAUGUGGAACUCCGAGUGUAGAGGUGAAAUUCGUAGAUAUUCGGAAGAACACCAGUGGCGAAGGCGACAUACUGGGUCAUGACUGACGCUGAGGCUCGAAAGCGUGGGGAGCAAACAGG
rnacentral:rRNA from 1 species